rnacentral:rRNA from 1 species
CUAAGGUAGCAUAAUCAUUUGUUAUUUAAUUGAUAACUGGAAUGAACGGUUAAACUAACUUAUUAAGUUUGUAGGGCUUUAUAGUAAUUUAAAGUUAAGGUAAGAAUUCUUUAAUCUUCUAGGGGACGAUAAGACCCUAGAAGCUUAACAAGUCGUUAUUUAGUUUUAAAAAUUUAUUUGUUUUACUGGGGCGGUAAAAAUAAGUAAGCUAUUUAUUAUUUAGGGGAUCCUUAAAAUAAAGAAAAAAUGGGAAAGUUACUCUAGGGGUAA